CUCAGGCUGCCUUCUGGCUAGGCUUCUCUCUGCGGCUGCGCAGCCUCAAAACGCCCCGCGGGGGGCGGGAGCGGGAAGCCCCACUUGUCUUCCCCACAACCCCCAGCCUCCCUCAAGUCACUCCCUCCUGCGAUGACAAUGAGGACCAGCUCCUGAGCUCUCUCCCUUGGUCAGGGCUUAGGUCUUGCCACUCUACCGCCAGCUUUUCCUGCCAUGUAGCCUCCACCUGGACGAAGUCGCUUCCCGCUCCCCCGGCUUCCAGAUGCACAGCGAGCUCUCUUGCUGCCGGCACCCCCCGCCUCAUUCGGCUCAGUCUUCUGCAAAACCCAGCGCCCUGCCUCUGCCUGCGCAGCCUGCCCUUGGGGGCCCGGCUUCUCCCACUCCUUCCUUAUUAGUUAUAUGUGCUGACUUUGGUGCAGAAGAUAUGCAUGUGCUUAGAGGUUCAGUAUCGCUUUCUCCCCCUGGCUUCUUUGGGAAAAGAGAUCCAGAGAGAAGAGUAAAGCAAGACCUAAAGAAGAGAUGUGAUUUACAAAGAACACCUGGAGAAUUGGUAGCACAGCCAGAACCAGAGCUCGAAUCUCCAGGUUCUUCCUCUAAGGAUCUAUCCACUGUAACAACUUGCCUCCUGGGAUGGCUUGGGUGGAAGAAAGCCCGGACCAUCGAUAUGGCUCCUUCUGGCUCUGUCUACAACAUUAACAUUCAAUGCUCCCUGUAGAUUGGCCACAAGUCAAAGUCCGCUGGUGCUGAGGUUUGCUUGGCUGUUUCAGUUGGAGUGGUGGAUUGGGUUGACUGUUCUGGAAUCUCUCUAAACCGUGAACAUAUCACCAGACGAAUGAACAAUGGUUUUAAAGAAGCAACCUGAUCUGUAGUCUUAGAGUGGCACAGCUGGGUUCACAGACAGUUAGGUCAUUUUCCUGACUGGGGGGGUGUAUGUUGUGCCUGCUUAGUGGACCCUGAAUUCCCUACAAGAGGCGGAGCCUAGCGUUGGCACCACUGCUAACUAGGAGAUUGAAAGCAAUGCUGCCCCAGCACACCUCACCGACAGCUGGGUGGUCACGGGCAAGGAUGGAGGAUCCCCACAUAACAGUCUUGACCAUGGCUGCAGGUGAUCUCAUCACAAAUUCUGGUUGACCGGUCCCCCGAUGUGAGCUGAGGGCCCUUACAUCUGCUACAGAGUUGAAAUAGCACACAUCCAUUCUUUGCACUGGGUAAAUAAGAUCUACCACUGGGUGGAGGAUUGUGAGCUGAUGGAGGAAAAGAUGCCGCAUUAGGAACCAGAACAAGGGAGUGCGCACCUCGCAGCACCACCAAUCAGCUGGUGCUCACCUCGCAGCACCACCAAUCAACUCGGCAGACAGAGUGGAUAGAGGGGGGUUCUCCUCUGCCCAGCCUCCCCCCAUGAAGCCUUGUGUCACCCACCACACCGCAUGCUUAGCCAAUCACUGAUGUCGACCCUCCGAUACAGUGGCCAGUACAUGUUACCAGUAGGGCCCUCUGGUAGGGUCCUUUCCUGGGGUGUAUACAGGCUGUGGGGAGACAGAAGUUCUUACUGAGGUUGCUGAAUGUACAUUAGACAUCUAGAGCUGUGACUGUCAUAAAAAAGCAUGAAAUGCUGCCAUUUGCAGCAACACGGUUAAGAACCUGACCUAGAGAUUAUCAUACUAGGUGGAGCAGGUCGGACAAAGACGAAUAUCACGUGAUACCAUUUGUAUGGGAAUCUAAAACAGAUGAUACUAAUGAACUUGUAUAUGUAACAGAAAUAGAACCACAGACUUAGAAGACAAACUUAUGGU